GACGAACGCUGGCGGCGUGCCUAACACAUGCAAGUCGAACGCGGUUACCCCGCAAGGGGUAACUGAGUGGCGAACGGGUGAGUAACACGUGGGUGACCUACCUUCGAAUGGGGGAGUAACGUCCCGAAAGGGACGCUAAUACCGCAUAACAUCCCGUCCUUGAACGGAUGGAGAUCAAAGCCGGGGAUCGCAAGACCUGGCGUUUGAAGAGGGGCCCGCGUCCGAUUAGCUAGUUGGUGAGGUAACGGCUCACCAAGGCGACGAUCGGUAACCGGCCUGAGAGGGCGGACGGUCACACUGGGACUGAGACACGGCCC
rnacentral:rRNA from 1 species